CCUGGGGGGCAGCAGUGGGGAAUAUUGGACAAUGGGCGAAAGCCUGAUCCAGCCAUGCCGCGUGUGUGAAGAAGGCCUUCGGGUUGUAAAGCACUUUCAGUGGGGAAGAAAGCCUUGGGGCUAAUACCCUCGAGGAAGGACAUCACCCACAGAAGAAGCACCGGCUAACUCCGUGCCAGCAGCCGCGGUAAUACGGAGGGUGCGAGCGUUAAUCGGAAUUACUGGGCGUAAAGCGCGCGUAGGCGGUCUGAUAAGCCGGUUGUGAAAGCCCCGGGCUCAACCUGGGAACGGCAUCCGGAACUGUCAGGCUAGAGUGCAGGAGAGGAAGGUAGAAUUCCCGGUGUAGCGGUGAAAUGCGUAGAGAUCGGGAGGAAUACCAGUGGCGAAGGCGGCCUUCUGGACUGACACUGACGCUGAGGUGCGAAAGCGUGGGUAGCAAACAGGAUUAGAUACCCCUGUAGUC
rnacentral:rRNA from 1 species